AUGCAUGUCUAAGUGGAGUAUUAUAAAGCGAAACUGCGAACGGCUCAUUACAACAGAUAUAAUCUACUUGUUCUAUUCUUUAAACUGAUAACUGAGGAAAAUCUUGAGCCAAACAAGUGAAAAAAGCCGGAUUCAGCAAUGAGUUCGGUGCACUUAUCGGAGCAAAAUCAAUCUUGAUUCAUGCUAACUCUAGAUAACCUUGCUUAUCGCACGACCUUGUGUCGGCGAAGUUACAUUCGAGUAUCUGCCUUAUCAACUAUCGUUGGUAGUGUAUUGGACUACCAUGGUGUUGACGGGUAACGGAGAAUCAGGGUUCGACUCCGGAGAGGGAGCCUUAGAAACGGCUACCAUGUCUAAGGACAGCAGCAGGCGCGCAACUUAUCCACUGUUCAUUGAACGAGAUAGUGACGAGAAAUAACAAGCUCAUUCUCUUUGAGGUUGAGCAUUGGAAUGGAUGAAAUCUAAACAAUUUCAUGAGUACCCAUGAGAGGGCAAGUCUGGUGCCAGCAGCCGCGGUAAUUCCAGCUCUCAUAAUGUAUAGAAUUAUUGUUGCGGUUAAAAAGUUCGUAGUUGGAUUUUGUACCUGUUACGGGUGGCAUCUUUUGGUGUCUACUUGUGCGGGUUUUUUCACAGUGUUGGACUUGUUCAACAUUGUGGGGUUACUUUGAACGGCUUAAGUGCUCAAAGCGGGUCUUCGGACCGAAUACCGGUGCAUGGAAUAAUGGAACAAGGUUUCGAUCGAGUUUUAUUGGUUUUGUCGGUUGAGACAAUGGUUAACAGGAACAGCUGGGGGCACUCGUAUUGCUGCGCGAGAGGUGAAAUUCGUGGACCGCAGCAAGACGCCCAAAAGCGAAGGCAUUUGCCAAGAGUGUUUUCAUUAAUCAAGAACGAAAGUCAGAGGUUCGAAGGCGAUUAGAUACCGCCCUAGUUCUGACCGUAAACGAUGCCAACUAUCAAUCCGCUAGUGGCUUUUAGUCAUUGGCGGGCGGAUCGACGGAAACGAAAGUUUUUCGGUUCCGGGGGAAGUAUGGUUGCAAAGCUGAAACUUAAAGGAAUUGACGGAAGGGCACCACCAGGAGUGGAGCUUGCGGCUUAAUUUGACUCAACACGGGAAAUCUCACCCGGCCAGUACAUCAUAAGGAUUGACAGAUUGAAAGCUCUUUCAUGAUUUGAUGAAUGGUGGUGCAUGGCCGUUCUUAGUUCGUGGCGUGAGUCGUCUGCUUAAUUGCGAUAACGAGCGAGACUCCGACUGCUAAAUACCAGUGGGAUUUUUUUGUCCCUCGCGGUUCUUAGCUGGAUUCGCGGCUUCAAGCCGCAAGAAAUGGAGCAAUAACAGGUCUGUGAUGCCCUUAGAUGUUCGGGGCGGCACGCGUGCUACAAUGAUGAUAACAGCAUGCUUGUGCUCGACCGACAGGUCUUGCCAAACAUAUGAGAUAUUAUUAUGGCUGGAAUUGAGUGUUGAAACUUUCUCUCAUGAACGAGGAAUUCCAAGUAAAUGCAAGUCAUCAACUUGCAUUGAUUACGUCCCUGCCCUUUGUACACACCGCCCGUCGCUACCCGGGACUGAGUUGUUUCGAGAAAUCUACGGACCGCUGGAAUGGAGGCAACUUCAUUUUUGGUGGAAAGUAAAUUAAUCGCAAUGGCUUGAACCGGGUAAAAGUCGUAACAAGGUAUCGGUAGGUGAACCUGCCGAUGGAUCAUUAACGCAAAUGAACCAAAACCUUGAAUUCCAUUCGCUUAAGACUGUGAAGAGGCAUGAAAGCAUUGGAAACAACCAUUGAUCGGAUUCAAAAUUUUUUUGGGUUCGAUUGCUUUUAACGGCUAGAUUGGGUCUCUGUGAUUGGCGGAGUAGUUGUUUGUAGGACCGUGGCUACAACGAUGCUGAUCGGUAGAGUCGCUUUUAUGGCUUGAUUCUAGAGUUAAUAACCCGUUGCGGUGCCCAAAACUCAUAUUCAUUCAUUUAAAUUUUUUUUCAAAUUGAUAAUAAAGACUAUUAGCUAUAUCGGUGGAUCACUUGGCUCGUAGAUCGAUGAAGAACGCAGUGAAUUGCGUUAAGAAUCACGAAUUACAGAUAUUAUGAGUGACAUGUUUUCGAUUGCAUAUUGCAUCGUCAAGCAUUUGCUUGUCGAUAUAUUCAACUCAGGGUGUAUUCAAAUAAGAAAAAAAUUCAAUUGUUUUUUUCUCAAAAUUAAUGCUGUGUGCUUUCGAGUAGCAGUGUUAAAAUUUGAGUCCUUUUUUCAAAGGUCUAUUGUUGAAGUGUUGCUGCCUUGAAUUGGGUCAUUUUUGAAUGAACACAAUUACUUUGUUGCUGUAUGAUGUUGUGAAUAAUUUCUUUGCGAUGUUUUGCACUCCAAAUUUGAUUGUGGACCUAUGCAGCUCUAUACACUGCCAAUUUUUGUUUUGGUUUAAUCCACCUGAGUCGAGUAUGAUUACCCCGCUGAACUAUAAGACAUAUAA
rnacentral:rRNA from 1 species